rnacentral:rRNA from 1 species
GACGAAGGUGGCGAGCGUUGUUCGAAAUCACUGGGCUUAAAGCGCACGUAGGCGGCUCAUCAAGCGUCUUGUGAAAUCCCUCGGCUCAACCGAGGAAUGGCUUGGCGAACUGGUGGGCUUGAGGUGGGUAGGGGCGAGUGGAACUCUUGGUGGAGCGGUGGAAUGCGUAGAUAUCAAGAGGAACGCCGGAGGCGAAGGCGACUCGCUGGGCCCAUCCUGACGCUGAGGUGCGAAAGCCAGGGGAGCGAACGGGAUUAGAUACCCCCGUA